ACUUAAACAAGGAUUCCCUUAGUAACUGCGAGUGAAGUGGGAAAAGCUCAAAUUUAAAAUCUGAUGGUCUUUGGCUGUCCGAGUUGUAAUUUAGAGAAGUGUCUUCCGCGCUGGACUGUGCACAAGUCUCCUGGAAUGGAGCAUCAUAGAGGGUGAGAAUCCUGUCUUUGGCACAGACACACCAGGGCUUUUGUGAUACACUCUCAAAGAGUCGAGUUGUUUGGGAAUGCAGCUCAAAAUGGGUGGUGAACUCCAUCUAAAGCUAAAUAUUGGCGAGAGACCGAUAGCGAACAAGUACCGUGAGGGAAAGAUGAAAAGCACUUUGGAAAGAGAGUGAAACAGUAUGUGAAAUUGUUGAAAGGGAAACACUUAAAGUCAGUCGUGUUGGCCAAGACUCAGCCUUGCUUUGGCUUGGUGUACUUCUUGGCCCAACAGGUCAGCAUCAAUCUUACCCCUUGGAUAAUGGCAAGGGAAAUGUGACACCUUUAUAGGUGUGUUAUAGUUUCUUGUCACAUGCAAGGGUGAGGAUUGAGGAACUCAGCAUGCACCUUUGGUGUUGGGGCUUUGCCUACAAUACAUGCUUAGGAUGCUGGCAUAAUGGCUUUAAAUGACCCGUCUUGAAACACGGACCAAGGAGUCUAACAUGCUCGCGAGUGUUCGGGUGGAAAACUCGUGCGCGCAAUGAAAGUAAAAGUUGGGACCUCUAUUGUGGAGGGCACCAAUGCCCGGACCAGACCUUCUGUGACGGAUCUGCGGUAGAGCGAGUAUGUUAGGACCCGAAAGAUGGUGAACUAUGCCUGAAUAGGGUGAAGCCAGAGGAAACUCUGGUGGAGGCUCGUAGCGAUUCU
rnacentral:rRNA from 1 species